rnacentral:rRNA from 1 species
AAACCAACCGGGAUUGCCUCAGUAACGGCGAGUGAAGCGGCAAAAGCUCAAAUUUGAAAUCUGGCACUUUCAGUGUCCGAGUUGUAAUUUGUAGAAGUAGUUUUGGGACUGGUCCUUAUCUAUGUUUCUUGGAACAGGACGUCAUAGAGGGUGAGAACCCCGUAUGAUGAGGCCCCCAGUCCUUUGUAAAACGCUUUCGAAGAGUCGAGUUGUUUGGGAAUGCAGCUCUAAGUGGGUGGUAAAUUCCAUCUAAAGCUAAAUAUUGGCGAGAGACCGAUAGCGAACAAGUACAGUGAUGGAAAGAUGAAAAGAACUUUGAAAAGAGAGUGAAAAAGUACGUGAAAUUGUUGAAAGGGAAGGGCAUUUGAUCAGACAUGGUGUUUUGCGCCCUUUGCUCCUUGUGGGCGGAGGAUACGCAGCUCACUGGGCCAACAUCAGUUUUGGGAGCAGGAUAAAUCUGUAGGAACGUAGCUUUCUUCGGGAAGUGUACUAGCUACGGAAGUACUGCUACCU